rnacentral:tRNA from 1 species
ACUCGGAUGGUGUAAUGGCAGUAUCUCAGUCUCCAAAACUGAUGAUAUCGGUUCGAGUCCUGUUCGGAGCGCAA